GCUAGGUUGGUAUAAUGGUUUGGGUGUUGAACUAGCACUCUGAGAGGCCAGGGUUCAAAUCCCUGCUCAGGCA